rnacentral:rRNA from 1 species
UACGAAGGGGCUAGCGUUGCUCGGAAUGACUGGGCGUAAAGGGCGCGUAGGCGGCUGUGACAGUCAGAUGUGAAAUUCCUGGGCUCAACCUGGGGGCUGCAUUUGAUACGUGUGGACUAGAGUGGGGAAGAGGGUCGUGGAAUUCCCAGUGUAGAGGUGAAAUUCGUAGAUAUUCGCAAGAACACCAGUGGCGAAGGCGGCUCACUGGCCCGGUACUGACGCUGAGGUGCGAAAGCGUGGGGAGCAAACAGG